rnacentral:lncRNA from 1 species
CGCUGAGUCACGGCCGUGCAGGUGCCGCCGUUCCCUGGGCGGGUCGGGCGUCGGGGAGCGGUGCCGGGCGGGUGUCCCUGUGCCCCCCCGGAUCCGUGAGGAAUGGCCGUGCCACUCCAGCUGCCCCGUGCCCACCUUUGCGGCAGCCUUAGCGGGCUCUUCCCCCUCUGGCUUGCCCCAAGAGGGGCAAAACCCCGACCAAUCCAUCCCCUCACCCUCGUGCUCUGCUCCAGACCUUACUGGCAGCCACGGACGCCCCUUUCUUCUGCCUCCACACCAAGUCGUGUCCCACCCCGCUCCCUCUCUUAACCCUUCAUCUAUCCUUUCCUUCUCGGACCUCCCUCUCCCUCCCCAAAUCCCUCCCUUCCCCACACUUACCCUGGGUCAUCCUCCUUCAUUCCCACGGCCCCCGCAGCCUCUCCCCUCCCGGCACCCCCUUGCCGUGAGCCACCAGCCCACCUCGGGUUCACGUCCCCUUUAAGCCUCCCCAGGCUGGAAUGCGAGAGGAGCAUUUCAGCGCCCUGUGAGGUCAGAUAAAGACACUAUAUUUAUCUGGCCGGUAACCUGAGCCCUGAAUUUCUGCGGUGGCAUUUUUUUUACGUGUGGCCCCACAGCCCUCGGGCUCGGCCCCCUCCAGCCACCGCACUCGCUCCCAGGGUAGAGGGGCUGAGCUGGGGGUGCCCUGUCCCCUCCAAAGGGCUCUGCUGCUGCCCAUCUCCACAUCUCCCCUCUCUGGGACCAGGGGAAGAUCCCAAAGGAGGCAGGAUCAGCCCCGUGGGCAUCACCUCAUGCCUGGAUGUUCGUCCUCCUGACCAGCCCUCGGCCGCCCACCCCACACGCAGCUCCUGCGGCUCCUGGCACACUCCGCUCUCCCUCUGCCCUGGGAUACACUUGGAUGUGACGUGGGGACUCGGCAGCACAGGCAGUCCUAGCAGAUGUGAUGUUCCUCCAUGUCGAUGCCUCCAGGAGAGCCCUCUGAGCCCCAGCCUGCAGCAUGUCCCAACUCUCCUCCACCCUGAAGCGCUACGUGGACUCCUCCCGCUACACCGAGACCACCUACAGCAAAGUGCCCGGCGGGUACAGCUCCUACAGCUCCUAUGGAUCCACCCUGUCCUA